rnacentral:rRNA from 1 species
CCUACGGGAGGCAGCAGUGGGGAAUUUUGGACAAUGGGCGCAAGCCUGAUCCAGCAAUGCCGCGUGAGUGAAGAAGGCCUUCGGGUUGUAAAGCUCUUUUGUCAGGGAAGAAACGGUAUCUCCUAAUACGGGGUGCUAAUGACGGUACCUGAAGAAUAAGCACCGGCUAACUACGUGCCAGCAGCCGCGGUAAUACGUAGGGUGCAAGCGUUAAUCGGAAUUACUGGGCGUAAAGCGUGCGCAGGCGGUUAUAUAAGUCAGAUGUGAAAUCCCCGGGCUCAACCUGGGAACUGCAUUUGAGACUGUAUGGCUAGAGUGUGUCAGAGGGGGGUAGAAUUCCACGUGUAGCAGUGAAAUGCGUAGAUAUGUGGAGGAAUACCGAUGGCGAAGGCAGCCCCCUGGGAUAACACUGACGCUCAUGCACGAAAGCGUGGGGAGCAAACAGGAUUAGAUACCCUGGUAGUCCACGCCCUAAACGAUGUCUACUAGUUGUCGGGACUUAAUUGUCUUGGUAACGCAGCUAACGCGUGAAGUAGACCGCCUGGGGAGUACGGUCGCAAGAUUAAAACUUAAAUGAAUUGACGG